rnacentral:rRNA from 1 species
GACGAACGCUGGCGGCGUGCUUACCACAUGCAAGUCGAACGGAAAGUCCCUCUUCUUGUGCAGUGCUAGGGUGACGUACGGGUGCGUAACACUGGAGUAACCUGCCCUUGGCCUUGGGAUCACUUCAGGAAACUGGCGCUAAUACCGGAGAGCCGCUCCUCCUGCCGGGUGGGGGUUGGACCGGUUCGGCGGUUGGGUACCGACUCGCGCCUGAUCAGCAUGUUGGUGGAGUAGUGGCUUAGCAAGGCCUUGACGGAGCGCCGGCCGGAGCGGGUGACCAGCCACAUCGGGACUGCGAGACGGCCCAGACUCCUACGGGAGCCAGCAGCGGGGAAUGUUGCAGAAUGGGCCCAAGCCGGAUGCAGCGGCCCGCCGUGCGGGAUGACGGCCUUCUGGUUGUAAACCGGGUUCGCAGGUAACGAAGCGGGUGUGACGGUAAGGGGUAAAGAAGCACCGGCUAAGUACGUG